UUCUCAUCUCUUUCACAGUUUCACUCUCCCAAAUAGAAAUCCUCGACCAGUAAUUGUAUUUUCAAAUUUCAAACCCAUAAAAUUAGUCCCAAAUUCUGAGUCAGUUUUUUCAAUCACUCACUGCAUAAAACCCCAUUUCCUUUUCACUCUCCCAAAUCCUCGAAGCCUUUUCACUCUUCCAGUUUCAAAAAUCAGUUAUUUCUACAAUGGAUUCUGUAAAGCGAGAUUCCAGGAUCGCAAAGGAUUCAUGAGCUUUUGAAGAGAGUGUGUGAAUCUCACCUUGACAUAUUACCAUAUCAUGAUAAGCCUUUCUUUGGGUCUAAGCUUAAUCUGGUUCAUCCAAUAAAAUUGCUUCCCUCAGAACCAUCAAGAGAUGCUCCGGAUGCUUCUCUCCACCAUGUCAGGACUGCAUGGAUCGCAAUACUCUACCAACAAUCUUCCUUGCUAAGCCACCAUAAGCUAUGCCACUAAUUAAAACAUGUUAUCUAUUAAAUGAGCUGACUACUAUAAAAUGUUAAUUGUUAUUUAACUUUACUUACUAAAUCAGUUUUGCAUCUCCCCUUAAAUCAAUAAUGUAACUUACAUACCUCCUUUUGAGGUGGAAGAUAUGGAAUGAGGAGAGAUAAAAAUUUUAACAAUCCAUUUUAAGCU